UACGUAGGUGGCAAGCGUUGUCCGGAAUCACUGGGCGUAAAGCGCACGUAGGCGGAUCUUUAAGUCAGGGGUGAAAUCCCGAGGCUCAACCUCGGAACUGCCUUUGAUACUGGGGAUCUCGAGUCCGGGAGAGGUGAGUGGAACUGCGAGUGUAGAGGUGAAAUUCGUAGAUAUUCGCAAGAACACCAGUGGCGAAGGCGGCUCACUGGCCCGGAACUGACGCUGAGGUGCGAAAGCGUGGGGAGCAAACAGGG
rnacentral:rRNA from 1 species